rnacentral:rRNA from 1 species
UAGGGAAUCUUCGGCAAUGGACGAAAGUCUGACCGAGCAACGCCGCGUGAGUGAAGAAGGUUUUCGGAUCGUAAAACUCUGUUGUUAGAGAAGAACAAGGACGUUAGUAACUGAACGUCCCCUGACGGUAUCUAACCAGAAAGCCACGGCUAACUACGUGCCAGCAGCCGCGGUAAUACGUAGGUGGCAAGCGUUGUCCGGAUUUAUUGGGCGUAAAGCGAGCGCAGGCGGUUUCUUAAGUCUGAUGUGAAAGCCCCCGGCUCAACCGGGGAGGGUCAUUGGAAACUGGGAGACUUGAGUGCAGAAGAGGAGAGUGGAAUUCCAUGUGUAGCGGUGAAAUGCGUAGAGAUGUGGAGGAAUACCGGUGGCGAAGGCGGCCCCCUGGACAAAGACUGACGCUCAGGUGCGAAAGCGUGGGGAGCAAACAGG